rnacentral:rRNA from 1 species
GGGGGCACCCUGACCCAGCGACGCCGCGUGGGGGAAGACGGCCUUCGGGUUGUAAACCUCUUUUGUACGGGAAGAAGGAAGUGACGGUACUGUACGAAUAAGUCCCGGCUAACUACGUGCCAGCAGCCGCGGUAAUACCGUGCCACC